rnacentral:tRNA from 4 species
GCGAAGGUGGCGGAAUUGGUAGAGGCGCUAGCUUCAGGUGUUAGUGUCCUUACGGACGUGGGGGUUCAAGUCCCCCCCCUCGCACCA